UACGUAGGGGGCGAGCGUUAUCCGGAAUCAUUGGGCGUAAAGAGCUCGUAGGCGGUUCAGCAAGUCGGCUGUGAAUGUCCAAGGCUCAACCUUGGAAAUGCAGUCGAUACUGCUGUGACUAGAGUCUGGUAGAGGAGAAUGGAAUUCCCGGUGUAGCGGUGGAAUGCGCAGAUAUCGGGAGGAACACCAGUAGCGAAGGCGGUUCUCUGGGCCUCGACUGACGCUGAGGAGCGAAAGCAUGGGUAGCAAACAGG
rnacentral:rRNA from 1 species